rnacentral:rRNA from 1 species
UAAAGCUACAAAGAGCUAAUGGUGGAUGCCUUGGUACUAGCAGCCGAUGAAGGACGCGCAUGUCUGCGAUAAUCUACGGGGAGUUGACAAGAUGCCUUGAUCCGUAGGAUUCCGAAUGGGGAAACCCUCUAGGGUUAAUACCUUAGAACCCGUAACUGAAUACAUAGGUUACGUGGAGGAAAGCUUGUGAACUGAAACAUCUUAGUAACAAGACGAAAAGAAAAUAAACUAAUGAUUCCGAAAGUAGCGGCGAGCGAACUCGGAACAGCCUAAACUUUACGUACGUGAUAGACUGCAAUCGUUGUGCGUAGAGUGUUGUGGGAGCUUCAGAAUACUUUGCAGAGUGUUCAAAGAGUUACAAAAUUAUUUGUUAGAUGAAGACAACUGGAAAGUUGUGCCAUAGAUGGUGAUAGCCCAGUAAUCGAAAGCAAAUGAUCUCUUGAAGAUUUCCCGAGUAAGGCGGGGCACGUGAAACCCUGUCUGAAUCUGCCGGGACCAUCCGGUAAGGCUAAAUACUCGCUAGUGACCGAUAGUGAACGAGUACAGUGAUGGAAAGGCGAAAAGAACAGUGAGAAGCUGAGUGAAAUAGAUCCUAAAACCGUUAGCUUACAACGAGCUAGAGCCCUAUUAAUAGGGUGAUAGCGUGCCUGUUGAAGAAUGAGCCGGCGAGUUAUCUUAUGUUGCGAGGUUAAGGGGUUAAUACCCGGAGCCACAGGGAAACCGAGUCUGAAUAGGGCGAUUGAGUAACAUGAGAUAGACCCGAACCUUGGCGAUCUAACCAUGACCAGGAUGAAGCGUAGGUGACACUACGUGGAGGUCCGAACCGACUGAUGUUGAAAAAUCAGCGGAUGAGUUGUGGUUAGGGGUGAAAUGCCAAUCGAGCCAAGAGCUAGCUGGUUCUCCCCGAAAUGCGUUUAGGCACAGCCUCAGGUUUAUCUUAUGGGAGGUAGAGCACUAGUUUGGUGCGGGCCGAGAAACUCGGUACCAAAUCAUGUUAAACUCCGAAUGCCCAUAAUGUUACUGCCUGGGAGUGAGACUGCGAGUGAUAAGAUCCGUAGUCAAGAGGGAAACAGCCCAGACCGCCAUCUAAGGUCCCUAAUUAUAUGCUAAGUGGUUAAGGAGGUAGGAAUACUUUGACAACCAGGAGGUUGGCUUAGAAGCAGCCAUUCCUUAAAAGAGUGCGUAAUAGCUCACUGGUCAAGUGUCCCCGCGCCGAAAAUACACCGGGACUCAAGCAUAUAACCGAAGAUGCGGCAGAUAAUUCGUUAUCUGGGUAGGGGAGCGUUCUGUUGUAGGUUGAAGCUAGAUCGAAAGGACUAGUGGACGAAGCAGAAGUGAGAAUGUCGGCAUGAGUAGCGAAAACAUUGGUGAGAAUCCAAUGCACCGUAAACCUAAGGUUUCCCCUGGCAGGCUCGUCCGCGGGGGGUUAGUCGGAACCUAAGCUCAGGCUGAAAAGCGUAGGCGAUGGACAACAGGUUGAUAUUCCUGUACUAUCUGGUAGUCGUUAUCAGAUGCGGAGGGACGCAGGAGGAUAAGCACGCAGCCGAUCGGAAGUGGCUGUUUAAGCGUGUAGCUAGUUCGAGUAGGAAAAUCCGCUCGGGCGUUAUGACGUGAGGCGUUAUGAGGAGAGUCUACGGACUCGAAGGUGUUGACUCCACACUGCCAAGAAAAUCUUCGCAAUCGAGAAUAUCAGGUAUCCGUACCGUAAACCGCCACAGGUAGGUUAGUAGAAAAUACUAAGGUGCGCGAGAUAACUCUCGCUAAGGAACUCGGCAAAAUCACCUCGUAACUUCGGGAGAAGAGGUACCCUGGUAGUGUGAUCUAUCCUCGCGAUAGUGAGCAUGAUAGGGUCGCAGUGAAUAGGCCCAUGCGACUGUUUACCAAAAACACAGGUCUCUGCUAAGUCGUAAGACGAUGUAUAGGGGCUGACGCCUGCCCGGUGCUGGAAGGUUACGUAGAAGGGUUAGUGGUUUACCACGAAGCUCCGACACUAAGCCCCAGUGAACGGCGGCCGUAACUAUAACGGUCCUAAGGUAGCGAAAUUCCUUGUCAGGUAA